UUCUGAACUCAGACAGUGUGUCUUCUCCACUCUACUACAGAGAAGUGGAGAAACAGAGAGGGAGAGAUGACCCAGUUAGAGGCAGAGUUCCAAGUUCUUCCACAAGGGAUACAAAACACCGUCUGACCCACACAGAUAAAAACUAAGGCUGAGAUCCCAAAGACUGAGUCACCAGAAUACGAGUAGAAUGCACAGGACUCUAGCACGUGACCAUUCUUCACUUUGCGGUAACUCUUCUGGAGGCUUUUGAACUUGGUUCGGCAUUGUUCGG